GGCUCUCACCAUGAAUCCUUCGGUUAGAGAUUGGCUAAAAAGAAUUAUCUGAUCCUCUUUCCUUGGAUCGGAGAUGGCCUAAGGAGUCUUCCAAUCACCAUUUGUCACCGUAAGUUCCUUGAAGAGCUUACUCUUUCUGGUUGCACAAAGUUUGAUGUGUUUCCAAGCAUUGAAGAAAAUAUGGAAGGAUUACAAAUCCUUCAUUUGGAUGGGACAUCUAUCAAAGAGCUUUUCCCCCUCGAUUGAACGGCUUCAGGGGCUUGAGGUAUUAGAUCUGGGAAAUUGCAAAAGCCUUGUACAUCUUCCCGACACUCUUUAGAAAAUGGGCAUACUGACAUUUUGACACGUGUACUACACUC